AGGUGUGUGUGUGUGUGUGUGUGUGUAUGUGUAUGGACAAGGAAGGGGAGGAAUUCUUUGAGAAACCCACAAUCUAGGGUAUGUCUUUCUUCCUCCACCUUCCUCUUUCUAUUAACCCUUGUAUUUAAGCUUUAUAUUAAAUUAAAGUCUCGUGAUAAACUCCAACUGUGCUUCAUUAAUCUCAUCCUGAAGCUCUCUUCUGUAUCCAAGCCGGAAGUCCUAGAUUUGUCAGAGUGGAAGUUUCUGAAAAGAACUCUUCGAGCUGCUGUGGGUGAGAGCAAGGCAAAAUCCCUGGUCAACCCUCCCAACAGGGGACCUGCUGUCUUGUAUGUUGCUUUUGGUCUUCAGGACCCUGUCCUUAAACAAUCUUCAGUGUUGUGCUGCAGGCUCUAGUAUCCAGCACCUCCAAACCCCAGACAGAGGUCACUCAGCCUGCGACCUUGACAGUCUGCUCCUUCCAUUACUGUCACUGGCUUUGGGAGCAAGAAUUUGGCACAGACUCACAGUCUAGGCCCCAUGUCUCUUUGAGCAGCUGAUGGGCCCCUGAAGGCUGAAGUUGAGGCUGGGAGGUGAGGCCCGUGAGCCCUCAAGCCUGAAGACACAGUCAAGGACGCUCCUUGAGGCUCAGGCACGGAUGAGGACAGAGCACAGAGGCUACAUCACAACAUGCUGAAGGCCUGAUCUUAUCUGAGUCCCUUGCCAACCCCCAGUUCUAGAAAGAACUACCUGGUCAGAGGUGCAUAUAGAAAUCUGGGGUCAGGCUGGCGAGAUGGCUCAGCGGGUAAGGGCACUGACUGCUCUUCCCAAGGUCCUGAGUUCAAAUCCCAGCAACCACCCGUUAUGAUAUCUGGCGCCCUCUUCUGGUGUGCCUGAAGACAGCUACCAUGUACUUAUUUAUUAUAAAUAAGUCUUUGGGCUGGAGUGAGCAGGGACUGAGCGAGCAGGGUUGACUGGAGAGAGCAGAGGUCCUAAAAAAAAUAAAAAUCAAUUCCCAACAACCACAUGAAGGCUCACAACCAUCUGUACAGCUACAGUGUACUCACACAUAUAAAUUUAAAA
rnacentral:lncRNA from 1 species